AGGGACUUGUAGAGCACCACAGUUACAUACUUAGCCAGAAAGCGGUGAGUGGAACCAAGGGCGACCACAGAUGGACCGCUUUUGCCUUUCUGCAUGUAAAGAUGGUUGAGAAUGACGUGCUGAGGUCUCGGCAAAGGAGAUGGGAUGUCAGGGCUGGCUGGAGGCAAGUUCAGCAGUGUCAUCUGCAGGUGCGGCGGAACCAGAGGGGGUUCUUUGGAGUAGUCCUCAGCGCCUAGAAGCAAGCUGCUGUAACUAGCCUCUGGUGAUUGCGGUGGCUCAAAACCAGAUAUGCUUUCAAUGUCUUCUGGUACAUAGUCCUGCACACAAACAAAACCAUAUCUCUCCUAUCAGAAACUAUAAAGAUGUCCCUUUGCCAUUCCCUAUACACCUGAAUAGUUUCUCUCUCUCUCUCUCUCUCUCUCUCUCUCCCUAAAGGUUUCGAAGUGAGGUUACCUGGAGGUCCAAAAGGUUGAAAGUGUUGCCAGCGUCGUCACGAGCUAGAGGGAGCUCAGGGGCAUGCCUCCACUGUCCAUCAACGAUGAACCUGUACUCAUAGACACCUGAAGGCAAGACUUUCAUUAUAGUGAAGUCUUUGCCAGAUCUCUGCAGCCGACUUCUGAUACAAACAAACAAACAGAAACAAGAAUGAGAGAUUAGAAAAAAGACAACAAGAGAAAAUCAAAACUCUAAAAAAAGGUAAGACCUUGUCUUCCAAUUGUCCCAAGACCCUUCAACAGCAAUCUCCUUGCCUCCAUGGCACCAAGUGAUCAUGGUGGGGAUGCCUUGCUCGUUACAAGCCUCUUCGUAGGAAGGGGCCUGCAUCCACGAAGGGUUUGGGAUGUGGAUUUCAUCUGGUCUUUGAAGAGGAAGCACCGGUACCUUUAAAAGGAAAGAAAGAUACAAACUUUCUUUAAAUCCAAUCUUUAUUAAUUAAUUAAUUAAUUAAUUUAUUUCAGAUCUGUGUGUUUAAGGGGAAAGUUGAAUCUGGGAACCUGAGGAGCAAACAUGAGAGGAGAUUGAGUGGCGCGAGGGGAUUGAGGAGGAGAUUGGCCCAUGAGCUCAGGAGGAGGAGGAGGAGCCGUGUCGGAAGACAUGGGUUGAUGAUGAUGGCGAGAGUGAAUCUCACCGUCGUUGUCUUCCAGUGGAGAUGCGUUGUUGUUGUUGUGGACACUGUUCGCUUCGUCUCUCGCGUUCACGUUGCCCAUAGAGAGAGAGAGAGAGGAUACGGACAAAAGGAGGGUAAUCUUAAUGCUUUGUGCGGACAGAACAGGACCGGGUUUAAAGGUUCGUGCUUUUUACGUAGAGAGAUUGAUCAAAGAGGGACGGAGUAAUUGAGAGAGAGAGUGGCUUCCCCUUCCUUCCUUCCUGAGAGAUCACAAACUAUUAAUAAAAAAUUAUUAAAGAAAUAUAAAAAAAAAUGCUUAAUCUUUGAUUUCAACUCAUAAAAUAUCGAAACACACAUUUUUCUUUUGUUGUUGUUGUUUUGUCAUUCAUCGAUCAAUUGUUCCAUACACACUCUCUUUCCAUCUUUCUCCACUUACUUUUCUUUCCUCUAAUAGGUUUUGUUUAUUGCAUUUAUUAUCCUAUAAUUUUAUUUGGUCCCUAAUUACCCCCUAUACAUCCCACAUUUCAGUAGACGGGCAUUUGGUGAAACUUACCAAAAUAUGUUUUCAGUUCAUUAACUCGCUCCUUUGUUAUGUUUCAGGGGGGAAACAAGAUGUAAACUUUGAACCAAUUUCACAAUCAAUGUUUUUUUUUUUGUGUGGUAAUUUGGCCAAGAGGCCCAUUACCUUGGCUUGAUAUAGCCAGGUAGCAACAAGGAGACCAAACUUCUGCUUUGGUUUAUGUCUAGUGUUUUCUACCCUUCAACUAGUUUCACAUAGAUGAUGGAACACAAAUAAUAAUUCAUGUCUCAGGUAUGGAGAGUGCAAGUGGGAUUUGUGAUCGAAUCAAAAGGAUGCAAAGGGUUUUUAUUCAAACAAUCAUAAAGUUGAAUAAUGGGAUAUUCUUUUUCUUAUAUAAAGCGGCCUCCAUAUAUCGCCCAUGAUAAAACCUCAGUUUAUGUAGCUGAUGACUUGAUGAGUGAUGGGGGUUAGUCUGAAAUUAUCAUAUUAUCCAAUAUUUUUUUCAAAAUGUAAUAAAAGGAAAAACAGAAAAGAAAAGGGAUUCUACAAUUAAAAAUUGAAAUCAACAUUGCCGUCACCUAUACUAAAAUAUAAGAAACCAGCCAAGGCCUAAAGGAGAUUUCAAAUUCUCUGUCACGUUAAGUUGUGAAAGACACUGCAACUCUGAAAUUUGAAUACUACUGACUAUAUACAUGAUCGCUCUGCUUUAGAGCCCCAUGUCUCUCUGCCAACUCAAAACAGCUCUGCCUAUAACAAUAAACACCGUACAAGCAAAUUACUAUUAGUCGCUGUAAUUUAGACUAACAUGGCAUAUGCUACUCCCAUUGAACUCAUAAAUAAACGCCUACGAUCACAACUGAAUCAAUGCAAUGAAGCUCAUAUUAAAUGCGAUCUAAUAAAACACCUAAGCAAAUAUGUACCUGUCAUCAACAAGCAGAAUGCUUCUUGAACCAAGGCAUCUAGAAAGAUUUUUCAUCUCUCACCAAUAUGGGUGGGUUAAAGCCAAGUUUAUGUUUCCUCACCUGCAAAAGCCAGCAUCAAACUCUCAACCACAUUACUAACAAGUCUAAGAAUAUGCUGACCAAAUUACACACACAAAGCAAAGAACCUGCCUCAGAUGCAGUUCCUCUUCCACAAACGGCUUGCAAGUCUAAAGACACCAGAAGAAGAUCACAAUCCUAAAUUGCUUUUAAGCUGAACUAAUCCAGUUUCUGAAAUGUCCAUCUUUACCUGCAAGCGUGAGAGUGAUAGACCUGCAACUGUGGAAUCGCAGAUAGGGAAAAGAGCUAACCAAAGUAUGGCUGCUGCUAGUAUAAGCAAACCAGAACAUAAUAUCACACUAAACAGUAAAAAAAAUGAAACGCUUUUUCUCUUGGGUUCUGGAAAUGAUAUAUGAAUCUCAAGAAAUGUAUUCAGAGAUACCUGAAGGAAAAAAUUGACUAAUGGGGGUUAACACUAAAUCGUAAGCUCUAUACAAAACUAAAAACAAUCAGCAUGAGUUGAAAAACAUUUAUCAUCCGAGAGCAUCUGCUUCUUUGAAAAAGUUUCUUGAUAAAUGAGCAAUGAUAUGUUGUUUAUGCGAAGGGGCUUUGCCAUCCUUUAGCAGAUACCACCAACUCAAGUACUAUUGGCCAUUACUGUCGAUCAAAAUGGCCAUCAAGGUUUUGCAACUUUAGCCAUCGCAAUGUACUUGUCAACUUGUUUGUCCACAAAGUCACGAAUCUGCAUAAAUAUUUUAAUCAAAUGCAGUGACAAUCAAUUCGAAAAAUGCAACUAUUUAGUGAUAUUUACUUAAACGAGGAAUCUAAAGACAAUAUUUUUGGCAAAUAUUUAACUCUGAAACGUUGGAAGCUUUUUACAAACCUUGUUUUUCCGCUUUGAGUCAAGGAAUUGGGGAACAGCCAUGGCUUUCUCCGCGUCUGUUGUUUGCUGCAUUACCUGAUAAAUCGCAAGAGUUUCAGAAGCCUUUUUCUAGCUUCGUAGAGAAAAAAGAAUCGCAGUAUACUAAUUGAAGAAUUUUGAAGAGUAGAAAACCACAAAAGUCACAAACCUUUGUUGCUGUCUUCUUCAUUAUUGACUUGUAUACAUCUCUAUCAAUUUUCUUUGCUCUAUAUGGGGUCAUAAGCAACGAUGCAACAAAAUCUACAACCCCCUGUUUCAACCGAUCUGCACCCCUGAUAUGACUUUUACGUGGCUCUUUAUUCACUGUAACCUGUGACAUAGAACCUUCAUUCGCGGGUUGGUCAUGCUUCCAACUAGGAGGACCCGUCGAACAUGCCAUCGAACCUUCUUCAUCCUUCAUAUGCAAGGCACGGUUGAAAAAUUCAGGAUCAGCAGCAGCAGCUUGAGAUUGCCAUCUAUCUAUUGCAUUGUAAUCCUUGACACCAUCGCUACUACCGCCAGUAUCAACCCAUGCCCCGGUAAAAACACUGGUUUCCGCAGCCCCACUCUCUCUAGAACAUUCUCUGAACUUUGAAUGAGAUCCAAGUUCAUUCGAAUGGCUACGCUGUGAACAAUUGUCGACCUGAACCCUUGAACUGUCAGGGUCAAGACAGGAGGCAGGGAAAUCAUACCAGUCCCGAACUUUGCAGUUCCUAGAGUCUAUCUCUGACAUACAAUCUUGUCUUCCUAAGACGUUGCCUGGAAACUUUUUCUUAAAAUCAGAUUCGUCCAUUUUUGCAUACUGCUCUCGCCUGGCAAAUUUAUGGAACGAGGGAAUCUUAGGAAGCUGCAAUGAAGUACUUUGAUAGGCCUCAGAAAAUGCCUGCACAACCAAGAUCUUGACACCGCGGUUCGAUCUUGACAUCAAUGCUUAUAACAACUACGGGAAGCUUUACCUCAGCCCUCUUUUCGCGCUCUCUAUUGGGUCUGGUUUUGCGAGGUUCACUGCAACGCUAACUCAUGUAGCAUUGUUCAACGGCAGGUUAGUUAGUUUGUUUUGUUGUCUCUUGAGUGAAACAAAAAGAGAGAAUGUGAAUGAAUCAGUUUGGUGUGUUUUGUUUAUGCAGGGACAUAUGGAGGCAGACUUGGUCUGCAGUGAAGACGGUGAAGCUGGACAUACAUGGGAAACUGAUGCAAAGAUACAAACAAGUGCCAGAGUGGUGGUUUUAUGUGUUGCUGGUUGGAAGUGUAGCAUUGUCUCUCCUCAUGUCUUUUGUGUGGAAGGAGUCAGUGCAGCUUCCGUGGUGGGGAAUGCUCUUUGCUUUUGCAAUGGCUUUUAUUGUCACUCUCCCUAUUGGUGUCAUUCAAGCUACUACAAACCAGGUUUUUGUUUACUAGUUUUAUACUACUCCCUCUGCUCAGUUGUAAUUAAAAAGAAUAUUUCACAAAAAAAAGAAUUUUUAAAAUGUUUUUAUAAAGAAAUUGUAAACUUCAAAAAGAUUAAUUGAGUUUAUUAAAUUUUUUUUGGUUAAAAGUUGCUGAAAAUUGUAGAAAAUGAUGCAUUAUAAAUAAUGAUUUAAUGUAUAUUUUUGGUUUCAAUUUACACAUUGCAUGCUUAUAUAUUUUGUGUUAAAUUGCAGCAACCAGGGUAUGAUAUAAUAGGGCAGUUUAUUAUUGGUUACAUCCUGCCUGGAAAGCCUAUUGCAAAUCUGAUUUUCAAGAUUUAUGGAAGAAUCAGCACAGUCCAUGCUCUCUCCUUCUUGGCAGACCUUAAGCUUGGCCAUUACAUGAAGAUCCCACCGCGGUGCAUGUACACGGCUCAGCUUGUUGGCACUGUGGUUGCUGGUGUGGUGAACUUGGGAGUGGCCUGGUGGAUGCUUGAGAGCAUUCAAGACAUAUGCGACAUUGAAGGAGAUCACCCCAAUAGCCCCUGGACUUGCCCCAAGUACAGAGUCACCUUUGAUGCUUCGGUUAUUUGGGGAUUGAUAGGACCAAAACGGCUGUUUGGAGCAGGAGGCAUGUACCGUAACCUUGUCUGGCUCUUCCUCAUCGGAGCUGUCUUGCCUGUUCCUGUGUGGGCCAUGAGCAAGAUCUUCCCUGACAAGAAGUGGAUUCCUCUCAUCAACAUUCCUGUAAUCUCCUACGGGUUUGCAGGGAUGCCUCCAGCGACACCAACCAACAUUGCUAGCUGGCUGGUCACAGGAACCAUCUUCAACUACUUUGUGUUCAAUUACCACAAGAGAUGGUGGCAGAAGUAUAACUACGUGCUCUCUGCAGCGCUGGACGCAGGGACUGCAUUCAUGGGAGUGCUCUUGUUCUUUGCACUGCAGAAUGCUGGACAUGACCUCAAAUGGUGGGGCACUGAAGUAGACCACUGCCCUCUUGCCUCCUGCCCAACGGCUCCUGGAAUCAUAGCCAAAGGCUGUCCUGUUUUCUAAAUUGAGUAUUAGAUUCAAAACAUGUUAUGCAAACAUGUUCCUAUUAUUGCUUCUUUCUGUACAGCCUUUUCUACUGCUAGAUAGUGGCCAUCAGAAUGCAAUAAACUCUGCUUUUUGGAUUUAUAAUAUGAGAUUACAAAGUACUAGUUCCAUUGAUACUUGCUAGUAUUUUGCUUUUUGAGACGCAUAUGAUCAUUUAUAAAUUUGAAAGCCAAACAAUAAUAAUUUGAUCCUUGCUUGUAUCAUCUUUUGCUUUUUUGAAAGCCAAACAAUAAUAAUUUGUGAAAACUUGAAAGCCACAAUACAAAACCGAAAAAAGAGAUUUGCUGGUUUUACAAGUUUCAUUUUUUUUUGUUGUUCUAAAUUAAUCUAAGAAAGGAGAAGAGAUGAUAAAAAGUCUUGAAAUCAAAAGAUACACAUGACUGAAUAAUGCAUCUUUCAUUAUGUUGCUUAAAACCUUAUUGACAACUUUAAAAGACAACAAAAUUCGAGCUUAUUGAGAGGGAAAAACACUUUUGCCUGUGAUGAUAAUCUCUUCUUCUUCUUCUCAUAUCCUAUAGCCUCACACACCCAUUCUCCAUGAGUUAGAUACUAAGCAUGUCUGAGUUUCCACAUGCUAAUGGGAACUGGGCACUAUAUCAUCAUCUUCUCACCUCUGGAGGGACUUGUAGAGCACCACAGUUACAUACUUAGCCAGAAAGCGGUGAGUGGAACCAAGGGCGACCACAGAUGGACCGCUUUUGCCUUUCUGCAUGUAAAGAUGGUUGAGAAUGACGUGCUGAGGUCUCGGCAAAGGAGAUGGAAUGUCAGGGCUAGCUGGAGGCAAGUUCAGCAGUGUCAUCUGCAGGUGCGGCGGAACCAGAGGGGGUUCUUUGGAGUAGUCCUCAGCGCCUAGAAGCAAGCUGCUGUAACUAGCCUCUGGUGAUUGCGGCGGCUCAAAACCAGAUAUGCUUUCAAUGUCUUCUGGUACAUAGUCCUGCACACAACCAACACACAAACAAAACCAUAUCUCUCCUAUCAACAUAGAUGAUAUCUCCAUUGCAUUCCCUAAACACCUCAAAUAGCCUUUCUCUCUCACACCCUAAAGGUUUCGAAGUGAGG
rnacentral:lncRNA from 1 species